CCAGGGGGAGCCGUGAGGGGGCGCGGUGGCGGCGGCGGUCGGGGGGCGGCUCGGGCGCGGUCAUGGCGGCGCGGAGCCCCGCGCAGGUGCUGCUGACGUUUGGUGACAUCUCGGUCUACUUUUCGGAGUCAGAGUGGGGGACGCGGGACAGAAGGACCUUUACGAGACCCGGGUGACGGGGAGCUGCGAAUUGCUGGCCCCUGGGUAAGGAGACGUCUGCAGGGACAUCCGCGCCCCGUUGUCAGCUGCUGUGACGGCUGCUGUGAGCCCGUCGGCCCGGAUCCGCGCGCACCUCACGCCUGGGUGCUGCAGCAGGGCUUCGGUGCGACGCCAGACCUUUCGGCUGUUAGUCCUCCAAGCCGUGUUCAAGCUGGUGGUGGAUACAGUGUCUGGGUGAGGUGUGGGCAGUCUCGUCCAGGGGAUGACGGACAUCUGUGCCGUCCCCACGCUGGUGGCUCGCAGGGCCGGACGCUCAGCUCCGCGCGUCCUCCCUCCUGCGGCACCCCGGGACGCGCCGCCCUUCAGCCCCGAGGGACGGCUGCGUCUGGCCGCACGGUCCCGGCCUCCCGGGCGGAGGGCUCGGGGGAGGCAGGAGCCGGCCAGCGGGCCGGGGAUUGGCCUGGCAGCACUGGAGGUUAGUGGGAAGGCAGCGCCCUGCAGCCGGCUUCCUCCCUGCCGGAGCUCCUCCCCUCGCAGGGAUGGGUCUGCGCAUCCCCCGGGAGCCCCCCGGGGAGCAUUCCCUGCUCCUUGCCUGCCCCGGAGCCCGGAGCCGAGGUGGGAAGCCCCUCGCGCUCGCACGUUACGGAGGUUUCCUGCGGGUGAACAACCUGCUCCCCCUGCCCGUCCUCUGCCCCGCGCAGGUUGCGGAGCCCCCGUCGCGCGUCGCGACGGAGCGCGUGUCCCGGAGCUGCCUCCUGGGCGGGAGGAGAGGACGGUCCCUGUGCGCAGGGAGACGCCGAGGAGCGAGAUACCCCCACGAACGACACCAGCGCGGCGACGGGGGUCUGCGAUGGCUCGGGAAGCGCCGGGAGGAUCCGUCUGCGGACACCUCUGUCCCCUCCCCGGCACGUUCCCCAGCUGAAGGCUCCAGCUGAAGACGGCCACGCCACCGAGGCAGGACAGGGGUGACGUGAGCCCGGAGCCGCGCGGGGCGUCACCGGCAGAGCCCCUUCCCCGCGUCGGGAGCCCGGUGACGUGCCGGUUCUCGCCCCGUGUGUUUGUACCUUGUUAACUGUUCGCAAUAAAUCUGUCUUUUGCUUAA